GACGAACGCUGGCGGCGUGCUUAACACAUGCAAGUCGAACGGUAAGGCCCUUCGGGGUACACGAGUGGCGAACGGGUGAGUAACACGUGGGUGAUCUGCCCUGCACUUCGGGAUGAGCCUGGGAAACUGGGUCUAAUACCGGAUAGGACCCUGGGAUGCAUGUCCUGGGGUGGAAAGCUUUUGCGGUGUGGGAUGGGCCCGCGGCCUAUCAACUUGUUGGUGGGGUGAUGGCCUACCAAGGCGACGACGGGUAGCCGGCCUGAGAGGGUGACCGGCCACACUGGGACUGAGAUACGGCCCAGACUCCUACGGGAGGCAGCAGUGGGGAAUAUUGCACAAUGGGCGCAAGCCUGAUGCAGCGACGCCGCGUGAGGGAUGACGGCCUUCGGGUUGUAAACCUCUUUCAGCACCGACGAAGCGCAAGUGACGGUAGGUGCAGAAGAAGGACCGGCCAACUACGUGCCAGCAGCCGCGGUAA
rnacentral:rRNA from 1 species